rnacentral:rRNA from 1 species
CCUACGGGCGGCAGCAGUGGGGAAUAUUGGACAAUGGGGGGAACCCUGAUCCAGCCAUGCCGCGUGUGUGAAGAAGGCCCUCGGGUUGUAAAGCACUUUCAGUGAGGAAGAACGCCUGGUGGUUAAUACCCAUCAGGAAAGACAUCACUCACAGAAGAAGCACCGGCUAACUCCGUGCCAGCAGCCGCGGUAAUACGGAGGGUGCGAGCGUUAAUCGGAAUUACUGGGCGUAAAGCGCGCGUAGGUGGCUUGAUAAGCCGGUUGUGAAAGCCCCGGGCUCAACCUGGGAACGGCAUCCGGAACUGUCAAGCUAGAGUGCAGGAGAGGAAGGUAGAAUUCCCGGUGUAGCGGUGAAAUGCGUAGAGAUCGGGAGGAAUACCAGUGGCGAAGGCGGCCUUCUGGACUGACACUGACCCUGAGGUGCGAAAGCGUGGGUAGCAAACAGGAUUAGAUACCCUAGUAGUC